GAUGAACGCUGGCGGCGUGCCUAAUACAUGCAAGUCGAGCGAACAGACGAGGAGCUUGCUCCUCUGACGUUAGCGGCGGACGGGUGAGUAACACGUGGAUAACCUACCUAUAAGACUGGGAUAACUUCGGGAAACCGGAGCUAAUACCGGAUAAUAUAUUGAACCGCAUGGUUCAAUAGUGAAAGACGGUUUUGCUGUCACUUAUAGAUGGAUCCGCGCCGCAUUAGCUAGUUGGUAAGGUAACGGCUUACCAAGGCAACGAUGCGUAGCCGACCUGAGAGAGUGAUCGGCCACACUGGAACUGAGACACGGUCCAGACUCCUACGGGAGGCAGCAGUCGGGAAUCUUCCGCAAUGGGCGAAAGCCUGACGGAGCAACGCCGCGUGAGUGAUGACGGUCUUCGGAUCGUAAAACUCUGUUAUUAGGGAAGAACAAAUGUGUAAGUAACUAUGCACGUCUUGACGGUAACUGAUCAGAAAGCCACGGCUAACUACGUG
rnacentral:rRNA from 1 species